rnacentral:rRNA from 1 species
GACGAACGCUGGCGGCGCGCCUAACACAUGCAAGUCGAACGAGCGAGAGAGAGCUUGCUUUCUCGAGCGAGUGGCGAACGGGUGAGUAACGCGUGAGGAACCUGCCUCAAAGAGGGGGACAACAGUUGGAAACGACUGCUAAUACCGCAUAAGCCCACGACCCGGCAUCGGGUAGAGGGAAAAGGAGCAAUCCGCUUUGAGAUGGCCUCGCGUCCGAUUAGCUAGUUGGUGAGGUAACGGCCCACCAAGGCGACGAUCGGUAGCCGGACUGAGAGGUUGAACGGCCACAGUGGGACUGAGACACGGCCCAGACUCCUACGGGAGGCAGCAGUGGGGAAUAUUGCACAACGGGGGAAACCCUGAUGCAGCGACGCCGCGUGGAGGAAGAAGGUCUUCGGAUUGUAAACUCCUGUUGUUGAGGAAGAUAAUGACGGUACUCAAAAAGGAAGUGACGGCUAACUACGUG